rnacentral:misc_RNA from 1 species
AGAUAUUCCAUCUGGAUGGCAUGUGGAAGAGGGGGAUUUAAGUGGUGAAGGUAUUCAACCUGACAUGCUGGUUUCUCUAACUGCCCCAAAAUUGUGUGCCAAAAGGUUUUCUGGCUCGCACCACUUUUUAGGUGGCAGAUUUGUUCCACCAUCCAUCAGAAACAAAUUUAAUCUUCAAUUACCAGCAUAUCCUGGCACUUCCAUGUGUGUCCGUAUUGGCAAGCCCCCAAAAAUUGACAUAUCAUCUCUGAGGGAGAACUAUAUUUCUCCUGCGUUGCUUGAGGAAGAGGUCGUCGCUGACCCCUUUGAUCAGUUCCAAAAGUGGUUUGAUGAUGCAAUGGUCGCAGGCUUGAAGGAACCAAAUGCCAUGGCCUUGUCAACUACUGGCAAAGAUGGCAAGCCUUCAUCAAGGAUCGUAUUGCUGAAAGGGUUUGACAAGGAUGGUUUUGUCUGGUACACCAAUUAUGAAGGCAGAAAAGGUCAACAAAUAGCUGAAAAUCCUCAUGCCGCACUCCUCUUUUAUUGGGAUGAUUUGAACCGCCAGGUAAGAAUCGAAGGGCCGGUGCAAAAAGUUUCUGAUGAGGAAUCUGAGCAAUAUUUCCACAGUCGUCCUCGGGGAAGUCAGAUUGGUGCCAUAGUUAGCCAGCAGAGCACAGUUAUUCCAGGAAGGCAUGUCCUCCUUGAUGAAUACAAACAGUUGGAGGCAAAAUACUCUGAUGGAUUCGUGAUUCCCAAACCAAAACACUGGGGAGGGUACCGGCUUAAACCUGAAAUGUUUGAAUUUUGGCAGGGACAGAAAUCUCGCUUGCAUGACAGGUUGCGUUACAUCCCGGAAACAGCUGAUGGAAAAACAGUGUGGAGGAUUGAGCGAUUGGCUCCAUGACUUUUGUUGAGAGCAUCCUCUUUAUGAGAAUGCCAAUUUGUUGUACUUCCCUUUUCUCCUCUCACCGCCUUGUUGAUCAUGAGUGUAUAUUGUGGAGUCGAGGCAACUUUCCAGGCACCAAUAAAAUUUGUUACCGUUUUUAUCAGACUACUGGUUAAUAU